ensembl:lncRNA
UCUCACCCACCUUCUUCUUCUUCUCCUUCUCACCCACCUUCUCCUUCUCACCCACCUUCUUCUUCAUCAUCUCACCCAUAGAUAUGAAUGAGUAGAUAGGACACGCCCCUUUGAGCCUGGUGCUGGUGAGGCUAAGCUAGUGGGGGCAAAGUUUCAGUGGAUUCCGUUGAUGUAGACGGCGUGAAAACGGAAACAACAAGUAUGCCGGUUCACUGUGCUGCAUACAAUUACACACUGCGUCGUACGAUUGAGACAAGGAAACUUGGAAUGGCUUUUCAUAGGUUUCCCAGGGACUAUGGGAUGAGGAGGAAUUGGAAGUUUGUCGGCUUAGACCUGGUGUCAUUCCAUCAGUGUUAAACUUCCCGGCUCAUCUUGGAAGAGUACGUGCCAGAAAGACCACGACCAAGCAGCCUUGAGAUGUUAGGCAGCGUCUCCCUGAGGUCCCUCUCUAUCUCCCCACACAUCCACCAACCACUGGAACACAUCUCCAAAGUUCUGCCGGGCCAGCUCAGCUUCCCCUCAGAAGAAGUGGCGCCACCUGCCAGAUGAAGGAGCCUUUUGAGAGGCAGCUGGCAUCGUGAUUGGACUGUACUUUGGUCUGUUCCAAUCCAGCUUCAGCUCCAGAGACGGCAGGCGGGACGAGUCAACGGAGGCCGGGUGGAUGAAAGCAUGCAGCUGAGUACAAUCCAGAAAACAACAGAGGAGGAGUGCAGGGCCAGAACAAGCAGAGUAGCAUCUUAUGUCUCUUAGAAAACAUCAUAGUAUAGCCUUUGCUAUGAAAAAACGCCAUCAUAUACAUCGAAUAUUGUACAAAUAACAAGUCAAAGGAAAGAGACAUACAUUGUAGAAUUGUAGUAACUGUGGGCUGACUGAUUUACUGAUUAUCAGUAUUUUAUUUUUUACUGAUUUAUGGUAAUAAAUACAUUUAAAAAUGGUGCUACUUUGGCUCUGAACCUUUAUCUAUCUGUGGUCGCUCUGUCUUCUGGAGUGAUUUGAU